rnacentral:rRNA from 1 species
AUUGAACGCUGGCGGCAGGCCUAACACAUGCAAGUCGAGCGGAGCGGCGGACGCGUGCGUAAUGCCUAGGAAUCUGCCUGGUAGUGGGGGCUAACGUUCGGAACCGGGCGCUAAUACCGCUUCCUAUCAGAUGAGCCUAGGUCGGAUUAGCUAGUGGGUGGGGUAAAGGCCUACCAAGGCGACGAUCCGUAACUGGUCUGAGAGGGUGAUCAGUCACACUGGAACUGAGACACGGUCAAGACUCCUACGGGAGGCAGCAGUGGGGAAUAUUGGACAAUGGGCGAAAGCCUGAUCCAGCCAUGCCGCGUGUGUGAAGAAGGUCUUCGGAGUGUAAAGCACUUUAAGUUGGGAGGCGUUACCAACAGAAUAAGCACCGGCUAACUUCGUGCCAGCAGCCGCGGUAAUUC